rnacentral:lncRNA from 1 species
CCCACCUCGGCCUCCCAAAGUGCUGGGAUUAGAGGCAUGAGCCACUGUGCCUGGCCUAUAUUUUAUUUUUCAUAGUGUCCCCAGCCAAGGCAGAAAACUAGCCAAAAAGGCCACUAACUAGUGUUUCUGUUUCCCUCUACUUUUCCUGCCCAUGUGUUUCUGUUUUGGGGAUUAUCUACAGCUCAGUAGCUUAAGAAUUUAGACAGCCAGCCUUUCUAGCCUAAAGUUAUUCACGGUUAUUUGGGUAGAGUCUCAGCCCAGAACUGGACAUUGCUUCCAUCAGCAACACUAAGGGGAGCUUGAAGUGCACAUAUGAUGACCUAGGACUUGCCUCACACCAGGCAAAACACACUGCCUCUUGGGAGUUCUGCAGAAGCUGCCAUUUAGUUGAGUGACUUUACCUGAACAUCAGGAAAAUAAACCUUCAGGAGGUUGGAGCUGGGAUAUCGUGUGAAGAAAAACAUUAGUUUGGCCUUCUUCAAGUGACCAGGGUUUAGACCCUCCUGGAUUUAUCUCAGUGUCAAGGAAAAUGAACACUUUAAAAUGCCAGUUUAUCAAUUAACUAGUGAAUUCCUUGUUCCUGUGGUUUCUAUUUGAUUUCAUUUUGUUUUUCUGAUUGGAAUUGUGUAUUUGCUCCAUUUUUCUGUCUCUGGAAACUCUGGUCAAAUAAGCUGGAUGACAUAUGUGCACAGUUAAGUCACAGAAUGUAAAAAUCAUCUCGAUGUGGAAAAGUUAUGUAGCAUAGAUGAUGUCAAAUACAGGUUGGUGUAUUGUGUGUGUGUGUGUGUGUGUGUGUGUGUGUGUGUGUGUGUGUGGUGUCCAAGUGGGAUGGGAAGAGAUGGCAAUUCUAUCCCAGAUAAACCAUUUCAAAACCCCAAGCAGAGAUUUACUUCCCCUCUCUGCCUCAGUUUCCUCAGCUGUAAAACGAGAAGAGUAAACUAGGUGGUCCCCAUUCUGGCUGUCACUCUUAUCAUUGCCUUCACAGUGUUGCCUUUAUAACCAGCAAACAUCUAAGCAGGCUGAAUACCAGCUCAUAUUUUGCUCUUGCUCAAGAAGCUUGAAUGGUUGGGUGGUACCCACUCUCCAUUUGCCUGGCAGAACUAUCCCUCAUCUUUCAGGUCUCAGCUCAGAAGCUCCCACCUCUGUUAAACCCUUCCUUGCCAAAUUAGGCCUUCCUUACCCUGGGCUAUGAAGACUCUUUGUACAAACUGUUGCAGCGAUGACCUUAUUGGAAUUUUUACUGUAUGUUUGUCUCGUCUAGACUGUGAGCUCCUUGAGAGUGAGGACCUUAUCUUUUCAUCUUUGUGCCUAGCCCAGUGCUAGGAACAUAGCAGGUGCUCAAUAAAUAUUUGUUGUGUGAAGGA